rnacentral:rRNA from 1 species
GACGAACGCUGGCGGCGUGCUUAACACAUGCAAGUCGAACGGAAAGGCCCUGCUUUUUUGGGGUGCUCGAGUGGCGAACGGGUGAGUAACACGUGAGUAACCUGCCCUUGACUUUGGGAUAACUUCAGGAAACUGGGGCUAAUACCGGAUAGGAGCUCCUGCUGCAUGGUGGGGGUUGGAAAGUUUCGGCGGUUGGGGAUGGACUGGGGGGUUAUCAGCUGGUUGGUGGGGUAGUGGCUUACCAAGGCUUUGAAGGGUCGCCGGCCUGAGAGGGUGGACGGGGUCCAUGGGACUGCGAGAGGGACCAGACUCGUAUGGGAGGCAGCAGGGGGGAAUAUUGCACAACGGGGGGAAGCGUGAUGAAGAAACGCCGCGAGCGGGAAGACGGCUUUGGGGUUGUAAACCGCUUUAGCCUGAGACGAAGCGUGAGUGACGGUAAUGGGUAAAGAAGCACCGGCUAACUACGUG